AGAGUUUGAUCCUGGCUCAGGACGAACGCUGGCGGCGUGCUUAACACAUGCAAGUCGAACGGAAAGGCCCUGCUUGCAGUACUCGAGUGGGCGAACGGGUGAGUAACACGUGGGUGAUCUGCCCUGCACUUCGGGAUAAGCCUGGGCAAACUGGGUCUAAUACCGGAUAGGAGCCAUUUUUUAGUGUGUGAUGGUUGGAAAGUUUUUUUCGGUGUAGGUAGAGCUCGCGGCCUAUCAGCUUGUUGGUGGGUAAUGGCUACCAAGGCGGCGACGGUAGCCGGCCUGAGAGGGUGGACGACAAUUGGGACUAGAUACGGCCAGACUCUACGGAGGCAGCAGUGGGAUAUUGCACAUGGCGCAGCUGAUGCAGCGACGCGCGUGGGUAGACGGCUCGGUUGUAACUCCUUCGCUAGGACGAAGCUUUUGUGACGGUACCUAGAUAAGAAGCACCGGCUAAGUACGUGCCAGCAGCCGCGGUAAUACGUAGGGUGCGAGCGUUGUCCGGAAUUACUGGCGUAAAGGGCUCGUAGGUGGUUUGUCGCGUCGUCUGUGAAAUUCCGGGGCUUAACUCCGGGCGUGCAGGCGAUACGGGCAUAACUUGAGUACUGUAGGGGUAACUGGAAUUCCUGGUGUAGCGGUGAAAUGCGCAGAUAUGAGGAGGAACACCGAUGGCGAAGGCAGGUUACUGGGCAGUUACUGACGCUGAGGAGCGAAAGCAUGGGUAGCGUAACAGGAUUAGAUACCCUGGUAGUCCAUGCCGUAAACGGUGGGCGCUAGGUGUGAGGGUCUUUUCACGACUUUCGUGCCGUAGCUAACGCAUUAAGCGCCCCGCCUGGGGAGUACGGCCGCAAGUAAAACUCAAAGGAAUUGACGGGGGCCCGCACAAGCGCGGAGCAUGUGGAUUAAUUCGAUGCAACGCGAAGAACCUUACCUGGGCUUGACAUACACUGGUACGGGCUAGAGAUAGUCUUUCCCUUUGUGGCUGGUGUACAGGUGGUGCAUGGUUGUCGUCACUCGUGUCGUGAGAUGUUGGGUUAAGUCCCGCAACGAGCGCAACCCUUGUCUUAUGUUGCCAGCAUUUGGUUGGGACUCUAUGAGAGACUGCCGGGUCAACUCGGAGGAAGGUGGGAUGACGUCAAAUCAUCAUGCCCCUUAUGUCCAGGGCUUCACACAUGCUACAAUGGUCGGUACAACCGCAGCGACACUGUGAGGUGGAGCGAAUCGCUGAAAGCCGGCCUUAGUUCGGAUUGGGGUCUGCAACUCGACCCCAUGAAGUCGGAGUCGCUAGUAAUCGCAGAUCAGCAAUGCUGCGGUGAAUACGUUCCCGGGCCUUGUACACACCGCCCGUCACUUGAUGAAAGUUGGUAACACCCGAAGCCGGUGGCCCAAACUUGUUAGGGAGCCGUCGAAGGUGGGAUCGGCGAUUGGGACGAAGUCGUAACAAGGUA
rnacentral:rRNA from 2 species